GCCUUCAUGGUGUAGUGGUCAGCACGCUCGACGCGCAACCGAGAGGUCCGUGGUUCGAUUCCCGGCGAAGACA
rnacentral:tRNA from 1 species